AGAGUUUGAUCAUGGCUCAGAUUGAACGCUGGCGGCAGGCCUAACACAUGCAAGUCGAACGGUAACAGGAAGCAGCUUGCUGCUUUGCUGACGAGUGGCGGACGGGUGAGUAAUGUCUGGGAAACUGCCUGAUGGAGGGGGAUAACUACUGGAAACGGUGGCUAAUACCGCAUAAUGUCGCAAGACCAAAGAGGGGGACCUUCGGGCCUCUUGCCAUCAGAUGUGCCCAGAUGGGAUUAGCUUGUUGGUGAGGUAACGGCUCACCAAGGCGACGAUCCCUAGCUGGUCUGAGAGGAUGACCAGCCACACUGGAACUGAGACACGGUCCAGACUCCUACGGGAGGCAGCAGUGGGGAAUAUUGCACAAUGGGCGCAAGCCUGAUGCAGCCAUGCCGCGUGUAUGAAGAAGGCCUUCGGGUUGUAAAGUACUUUCAGCGGGGAGGAAGGUGUUGUGGUUAAUAACCGCAGCAAUUGACGUUACCCGCAGAAGAAGCACCGGCUAACUCCGUGCCAGCAGCCGCGGUAAUACGGAGGGUGCAAGCGUUAAUCGGAAUUACUGGGCGUAAAGCGCACGCAGGCGGUCUGUCAAGUCGGAUGUGAAAUCCCCGGGCUCAACCUGGGAACUGCAUUCGAAACUGGCAGGCUUGAGUCUUGUAGAGGGGGGUAGAAUUCCAGGUGUAGCGGUGAAAUGCGUAGAGAUCUGGAGGAAUACCGGUGGCGAAGGCGGCCCCCUGGACAAAGACUGACGCUCAGGUGCGAAAGCGUGGGGAGCAAACAGGAUUAGAUACCCUGGUAGUCCACGCCGUAAACGAUGUCUACUUGGAGGUUGUGCCCUUGAGGCGUGGCUUCCGGAGCUAACGCGUUAAGUAGACCGCCUGGGGAGUACGGCCGCAAGGUUAAAACUCAAAUGAAUUGACGGGGGCCCGCACAAGCGGUGGAGCAUGUGGUUUAAUUCGAUGCAACGCGAAGAACCUUACCUGGUCUUGACAUCCACGGAAGAAUUCAGAGAUGGAUUGGUGCCUUCGGGAACCGUGAGACAGGUGCUGCAUGGCUGUCGUCAGCUCGUGUUGUGAAAUGUUGGGUUAAGUCCCGCAACGAGCGCAACCCUUAUCCUUUGUUGCCAGCGGUCCGGCCGGGAACUCAAAGGAGACUGCCAGUGAUAAACUGGAGGAAGGUGGGGAUGACGUCAAGUCAUCAUGGCCCUUACGACCAGGGCUACACACGUGCUACAAUGGCGCAUACAAAGAGAAGCGACCUCGCGAGAGCAAGCGGACCUCAUAAAGUGCGUCGUAGUCCGGAUUGGAGUCUGCAACUCGACUCCAUGAAGUCGGAAUCGCUAGUAAUCGUGGAUCAGAAUGCCACGGUGAAUACGUUCCCGGGCCUUGUACACACCGCCCGUCACACCAUGGGAGUGGGUUGCAAAAGAAGUAGGUAGCUUAACCUUCGGGAGGGCGCUUACCACUUUGUGAUUCAUGACUGGGGUGAAGUCGUAACAAGGUAACCGUAGGGGAACCUGCGGUUG
rnacentral:rRNA from 1 species